CAUGAUGCGGACCACGAAAAAAAAUUAAAAUACUUACUGUACUGCAAUACAGCGUUACGUAUAAUUAAGGCAUUGAGCUGUCACCAGAAGUACCUUUAAUUACAUAAAAUUCAGCCCACCUCCGGAAUCUUUAUUUCGAUGCAUCUGUAACUGCACUUUGUAUCCAGCACGCUUGAUCCAGAGACUGCCAAGACAAUAGCUUGUGUCAAGCACUAGCUACCGAUCACUUUACUACUUUUCCCAUCGCGGAUAUCACUGUUUUUUGGCGGGCCUGUGUUAGUGUGUCCUUCAUGAAAUCGGAAACUGACAGUUAACAAGAGGUGCGGGAAACAUUCCUGUUCAGGGCAAAAACAUGUACAAAUUCUAAAGCGAAACCCAGGUACGACGAAAAUGUCGGACGAAUCUUCUCCGAAUGUGCCUGACCAGCGGCCCACGGUUGUGAAUGGGCCAAUGCCAUUGCCAUUAGGGGUACCAUCCGAAUCAAGCUCGAAGCGACGCAGGUCCACAGUACCGAAGCUGCGUAGAAAGAGGGCCAAAGAUAGGACAAGUACAGCGUCGUCUCGCCCAAAAAAGCAGGCAAAGCCAGCCGAAACAGGAGCUCGAAUGCCUCGUAUGCUCACAUUGGCCCAGGUGAGGAAGAAAUUACAGGAGGCAGGAGUGCAAGAUCUGGACGCGGUCGGCCACUGCGUCCGGUCGGCGAUCGCUCGGCGUUUUAUCAAACUGGACAGUGUCGCCGAUUUGGAUGCGGUGAUUUCCAGCGGAGUGUGUGGGGAAACUUUUGGGAUGCCCUGUAAGACCCGGAUCGACGUUAUGCUGAGAAUGAUUUUGUAUCAAAAGGAUAACGGAGCCGACGCAUAUUACGGAGCAGGCGAUUAUCCUGUUCGGUGCAGUGCUUGCAACCAAGGUUUCUUCGUGACAGAUUUGUGCACUGGCCAGCCACGAUUCUGUGACGGGAAAUUCACGAACCACUGUACGGACUGCAAGAGCUGCAUGGGCGAUGUUCGGGAUCGUCAUUGUGACAAGUGCGGAAAACAUUAUUUCGCGGGAUCACAUGGCCAAUUUUCAUGCUCGUGUCGCUCCCGAAAGCAGCGAGGCACUAAGAUUAGAGUCUAAAUGCCGCGUUCCUGGUUAGCAUGACAGCGGCGAACUUGUUCCUCACAGUAGUGCAGCAGCUGGGCUGCUGGGUGGGAUCCGACCUAUGGGUUUACCUUUUUUACGUUGAACGUUUGCUGUUCAAAUGUCUUCCUUACUGCUGUAGCUUAGGCGAUUCUGCUUUGGUUUUCAUCUUGGGAAAGCGGUCUGAAAUACUUAUGCUUUCUGUUAGGUGUUACGGAUGGACGUCAGUGGCUAGAUACGCUGUAUAGCUUGUAUCUGUUUUUCUACGGUUCAGCGCGAAUUUGAGUCGAUUUCCUAAAUGCGGGUAAAUAAUACUGUACUGUCAUCUACUGUAGAAAACUUGUCAAUUUUGUCAUGCAGUAAUGAGGUG